GCAAGCUUAUCCGUUUAGCGGACAAGUACCCAGCUGGUUGGGGUAUUGUCAAACGAACUGGAAGGGAGUGGCGUCGCUUCCGACUCUGAUGAAGAACGUCGGUUUGAGAGAGCUGAAGCGAAAGCGCUCAGGAAACAUUGCCGGGGCCGCAGCAGCAGCUCAAGUCGUCCAUAUGGGCCUUCACUAGCUCACGUCAAUCAACGUACAGGGCAACAGGAGAUGUGUUUUCACUCGGUGUUUGGAAGGAGAAGGAGGUGCUUAAAGAUCCAACUAUGAUUAGUUUAGCGGAAAGGUUACCAGAAUUAAUGUUGGAAUCUAGAGCUAAGACUACUGUGAAACAGAAUGAAGGUCGAUUUGUGAAGUUUAAGGAUUGGUGUAAACAAUUUGCCAUCAGUCAUAUACCGGCUUCUGUAUUUCAUAUAGCAUUGUACGUGUUAUAUCUUGAGCAGAACAGUAAGAGUCCUGCAUCAAUUCAGCAGUCGAUUUACGCCAUAGGUUGGGCACAUAAUUUAGCAGGCCUACGGAAUCCGUGUCAGUCACAUUUCGUCAAGUCUGUGCUUGAAUCUUCGCGGAGAACUCUCGGUGUACACAUCAGGCGGAAAGAGCCAUUAACAGCAGAUAUUCUACGAAAGUUAAAAGAUAAGUUUCCUGUUGACAGCUUAUACAACCUGAGAAAUUUAACAUUUUGUAUAGUUUCUUUUGCUGGCUUCCUUAGGUUUUCGGAAGCAGCAAAUUUAAGAUAUUCUGACAUAAUCUUUCGGGAAGGUCACAUGGUUAUUUUUAUAGAGAAAAGCAAAACUGAUAAAUAUCGAGAUGGCCAUCACUUGGUUGUUGCUGCAACCCAAUCAGAAUUGUCCACUUAGUAUUAUGAAGUCCUACCUAGAACAAGCAUUUGAAAGUUACAGUGAUGACUAUAUCUUUAAACCAGUGAACUAUUGCAGAAAGUCAAACACUGAUAAGUUAAGAGGCAGCAAGCCAGUCUCUUAUACACGUAUGCGAGAGAUCAUUCUGAGUAUGUUGGAGACUGUUGGUCUAAAGAGACAGGAUUUUGGGGUGCACAGCCUCAGGUCGGGAGGGGCGACCGAGGCGGCCAAUGCUGGAGUGCCGGAUAGGCUAUUCAAGCGUCACGGUCGGUGGCGGUCAGAGACUGCAAAAGAUUAUGUGAAGGAUAGCCUAUUAGCAAGACUCAGUGUGUCGAAAAAAUUGGGAAUUUUGAUGUUGUGAUCUGUUGCCAGUAAUAAAUGAUUGAUUAAGCAGAUUUGUAUUAUCCUUUUAUUUGCCCGCUCUCUUAGUUCUUGAGGCUGACGUGAACGUACCCAAAUACAGAGUUGUGCGAUUAUUUGUAAAUGUUUUAUGUUCGGUUGAGUUUACGAAUUGGAACAUAAAUAUAUUUACUAAUACGUGGUUGUGUAUUUGGGUUCGAGAGUAUUCAGUACAGAUGAACUUGAGUCCGUGCAACAAGUCACGUGAUGGGUGUGCUAUAAAAGGGUCCAAGAUAAAUAUGGAUCAGGUUAAACUUAUAUCAGUGGUUCGUAAACAGCAAAACCGUUUUCAGGUUAAAUUUUGGUCACUGGACCUCGGAUGUAAUAGGUCACUGGACCUCGGAUGUAAUAGGUCACUGGACCUCGGAUGUAAUAGGUCACUGGACCUCGGAUGUAAUAGGUCACUGGACCUCGGAUGUAAUAGGUCACUGGACCUCGGAUGUAAUAGGUCACUGGACCUCAUGUACAAAUGUAAUAGGUCACUGGACCGCGUGUACUAGGUCACUGGACUUCCCCAUUUGCUAGGUCACUGGACCCAUCUUAAGAUUCAUGAAGGUGAAAAAUCAGUUGAAGUUGAUUUGUGAUUCAAUAUGUAAGACAGUAUAAUAAUUUAUCAAUACCGAAUAUGUUACAAUGUAUUAAAUAAGUUUUCUAAGUUUUUCAGGCUUCCGGGAAUUCCAAACGGAAAACUCUACUGGAGCACAUGGGCAGAUAUGGUUACCAGAUAACACAGCACUGAGGAGCCAUUCAGAUCGGUUCCAGCCGUGGAUGUAAACUUCGUAUUCAAUAUAUUUCAUUAAACUUGCCGCCCCGUCAGGCUGACGUGAACCCAAAUACAGAGUUGUGCGAUUAUUUGUAAAUGUUUUAUGUUCGGUUGAGUUUACGAAUUAGAACAUAAGUUUAUUUAAGUGUAGGACUUCAUCACAAAUAUAACACUGUUUGCGAGGAUCUUUUAAACCAAGUGUCAGAAUAAUGAGUGCUAACAUGUAUAUUUACCUUUCAUAGUUAGAAUGAUGAGCUGAAAUGUCUAUGUUCGAGCUACUGAAAACACAUGCAUUCAAUAUAUUGUUUUGAAAGCCUGAAGGAGGGCCGGGCGUUCUAAUGUUUAACUAAAUAUUGCCAUUUUAAGUUCAUACAACUUCAGUAAAUUCUACGCAUGUUUUUCCGUAAUCUGCUCUUCAGACGUAGGGUUAGUGUGUAGGUGUUGGUGCCACUUUAUCAUGUCCGGUCACGUGACAGGAAAUUUGAUGUGGUCUUAGGGGACCGUUCAUAAUUAAUGGCUAGGGGAUGAUGAUGAUUUUUUUAUGGAGAAGAGUGUACAAUUUGAAUUACCCCCCCCCCUUAAACUUCAUGUAUAAAGUAAGUGACCCCCUGCAUGAUGUGUACAAAAUCAAUGACACCCCCUCCCCUUCCUAUAACUUUAAGCAUAUUUAUUCAAUGCUUUUAUGUUC